rnacentral:rRNA from 1 species
AGCAGCCGCGGUAAUUCCAGCUCCAAUAGCGUAUAUUAAAGUUGUUGCAGUUAAAAAGCUCGUAGUUGAAUUUCGGGGUUAGUAGGUUGGUCAUGCCUCUGGUAUGUACUGGUCUCACUGAUUCCUCCUUCCUGAUGAACCGUAAUGCCAUUAAUUUGGUGUUGCGGGGAAUUUGGACUGUUACUUUGAAAAAAUUAGAGUGUUUAAAGCAAGCUAACGCUUGAAUACAUUAGCAUGGAAUAAUGAAAUAGGACGUUCGAUCCUAUUUUGUUGGUUUCUAGGAUUGACGUAAUGAUUAAUAGGGAUAGUUGGGGGCAUUAGUAUUCAAUUGUCAGAGGUGAAAUUCUUGGAUUUAUUGAAGACUAACUACUGCGAAAGCAUUUGCCAAGGAUGUUUUCAUUAAUCAAGAACGAAAGUUAGGGGAUCGAAGACGAUCAGAUACCGUCGUAGUCUUAACCAUAAACUAUGCCGACUAGGGAUCGGAUGAUGUAAUUUUUAAUGACUCAUUCGGCGCCUUAAC